rnacentral:rRNA from 1 species
UGCAAGUCGAGCGAAGACUUCGGUCUUAGCGGCGGACGGGUGAGUAACGCGUGGGAACGUGCCCUUUGCUACGGAAUAGUCCCUGGAAACGGGGUUUAAUACCGUAUGUCCUCUUUGGAGGAAAGAUUUAUCGGCAAAGGAUCGGCCCGCGUUGGAUUAGGUAGUUGGUGGGGUAAUGGCCUACCAAGCCGACGAUCCAUAGCUGGUUUGAGAGGAUGAUCAGCCACACUGGGACUGAGACACGGCCCAGACUCCUACGGGAGGCAGCAGUGGGGAAUCUUACACAAUGGGGGAAACCCUGAUCUAGUCAUGCCGCGUGAGCGAUGAAGGGCUUA